rnacentral:rRNA from 1 species
AGAGUUUGAUCCUGGCUCAGAAUCAACGCUGGCGGCGUGCCUAACACAUGCAAGUCGAACGAGAAAGUGGAGCAAUCCAUGAGUAAAGUGGCGCACGGGUGAGUAACACGUGACUAACCUACCCUUGAGUGGGGGAUAACCUAGGGAAACCUGGGCUAAUACCGCAUAAUACCUUCGGGUCAAAGGAGCAAUUCGCUUAAGGAGGGGGUCGCGGCCGAUUAGUUAGUUGGCGGGGUAAUGGCCCACCAAGACUGUGAUCGGUAUCCGGCCUGAGAGGGCGCACGGACACACUGGAACUGAAACACGGUCCAGACUCCUACGGGAGGCAGCAGUGGGGAAUUUUGCGCAAUGGGGGAAACCCUGACGCAGCAACGCCGCGUGGAGGAUGAAGCCCCUUGGGGCGUAAACUCCUUUCGAUCGGGACGA